rnacentral:tRNA from 1 species
GCGGAAGUGGCGGAACGGCAGACGCGAUAGGUUCAGGGCCUAUUGCCCGCAAGGGCGUGGGGGUUCAAGUCCCCCCUUCCGCA